rnacentral:snRNA from 1 species
AUCGCUUCUCAGCCUUUUGGCUAAGAUCAAGUGUAGUACCUAGUGCAUUAUGUCGUCACCUUCACUAUAAAUCAAGUAGUUGUAUGUGAGAGUUUGUUUCUGGAAUCUCUAUUCUAUUUCAUCGUUCUGUUUGCCAUUGUGCCAAUACCUUACUGUCUUAGUAUUAUACUGUUA